rnacentral:rRNA from 1 species
GACGAACGCUGGCGGCGUGCCUAAUACAUGCAAGUCGAGCGAAGUUUUUCUGGUGCUUGCACCGGAAAAACUUAGCGGCGAACGGGUGAGUAACACGUAAAGAACCUGCCUCAUAGACUGGGACAACUAUUGGAAACGAUAGCUAAUACCGGAUAACAGCAUUAACUGCAUGGUUGAUGUUUAAAAGUUGGUUUUGCUAACACUAUGAGAUGGCUUUGCGGUGCAUUAGCUAGUUGGUGGGGUAAAGGCCUACCAAGGCGACGAUGCAUAGCCGACCUGAGAGGGUGAUCGGCCACACUGGGACUGAGACACGGCCCAGACUCCUACGGGAGGCAGCAGUAGGGAAUCUUCCGCAAUGGGCGAAAGCCUGACGGAGCAACGCCGCGUGAGUGAAGAAGGAUUUCGGUUCGUAAAGCUCUGUUGUUAGGGAAGAAUGAUUGUGUAGUAACUAUACACAGUAGAGACGGUACCUAACCAGAAAGCCACGGCUAACUACGUGCCAGCAGCCGCGGUAAUACGUAGGUGGCAAGCGUUGUCCGGAAUUAUUGGGCGUAAAGCGCGCGCAGGUGGUUUAAUAAGUCUGAUGUGAAAGCCCACGGCUCAACCGUGGAGGGUCAUUGGAAACUGUUAAACUUGAGUGCAGGAGAGAAAAGUGGAAUUCCUAGUGUAGCGGUGAAAUGCGUAGAGAUUAGGAGGAACACCAGUGGCGAAAGCGGCUUUUUGGCCUGUAACUGACACUGAGGCGCGAAAGCGUGGGGAGCAAACAGG